CCUACGGGUGGCAGCAGUGAGGAAUAUUGGUCAAUGGGCGCGAGCCUGAACCAGCCAAGUCGCGUGAGGGAAGACGGUCCUAUGGAUUGUAAACCUCUUUUGUCGGGGAGCAAAAGACGCCACGCGUGGCGUUCCGAGAGUACCCGAAGAAAAAGCAUCGGCUAACUCCGUGCCAGAAGCCGGGAUAAUACGGAGGAUGCGAGCGUUAUCCGGAUUUAUUGGGUUGAACGGGUGCGCAGGCGGAAGAUCAAGUCAGCGGUAAAAUUGAGGGGCUCAACCUCUUCGAGCCGUUGAAACUGGGUUGCUUGAGUGAGUGAGAAGUAUGCGGAAUGCGUGGUGUAGCGGUGAAAUGCAUAGAUAUCACGCAGAACUCCGAUUGCGAAGGCAGCAUACCGGCGCUCAACUGACGCUCAUGCACGAAAGUGUGGGGAUCGAACAGGAUUAGAUACCCCUGUAGUC
rnacentral:rRNA from 1 species